rnacentral:rRNA from 1 species
AAUCUUUGAACGCACAUUGCGCCCUCUGGUAUUCCGGGGGGCAUGCCUGUUCGAGCGUCAUUACAACCCUCAAGCUCUGCUUGGUAUUGGGCUCGCCCUUCAGGGCUUGCCUCAAAGUCAGUGGCGGCUACCGUCCGACCUUCAGCGCAGUACUAUUCGUCGCUGUUAGGGAAGGCCUACAACCCGUCAUCACAACCCCCACUUUACAAGGUUGACCUCGGAUCAGGUAGGGAUACCCGCUGAACUUAAGCAUAUCAAUAAGCGGAGGAAAAGAAACCAACAGGGAUUGCCUCAGUAACGGCGAGUGAAGCGGCAAAAGCUCAAAUUUGAAAGCUGGCUCCUUCGGGGUCCGCGUUGUAAUUUGUAGAGGAUGCUUCGGGCGCGGCUCCGGUCUAAGUUCUCUGGAACGAGACGUCAUAGAGGGUGAGAAUCCCGUAUGUGACCGGCUGCCUGUGCCCAUGUGAAGCUCCUUCGACGAGUCGAGUUGUUUGGGAAUGCAGCUCAAAAUGGGAGGUGUACUCCUUCUAAAGCUAAAUAUUGGCCAGAGACCGAUAGCGCACAAGUAGAGUGAUCGAAAGAUGAAAAGCACUUUGGAAAGAGAGUUAAACAGUACGUGAAAUUGUUGAAAGGGAAGCGCUUGCAAUCAGACUUGCGCGGCGUCGAUCAACCUGGGUUCUCCCUGGUGCACUCGGCGCCGCUCAGGCCAGCAUCAGUUUCGGCGGUGGGAUAAAGGCUGAGGGAACGUGGGUCACCUCGGUGACCGUUAUAGCCCUCGGUGCAAUGCCGCCUGCCGGGACUGAGGACCGC